GGCGCGCGAUACAGGGUGACAGCCCCGUACACAAAAAUGCACAUGCUGUGAGCUCGAUGAGUAGGGCGGGACACGUGGUAUCCUGUCUGAAUAUGGGGGGACCAUCCUCCAAGGCUAAAUACUCCUGACUGACCGAUAGUGAACCAGUACCGUGAGGGAAAGGCGAAAAGAACCCCGGCGAGGGGAGUGAAAAAGAACCUGAAACCGUGUACGUACAAGCAGUGGGAGCACGCUUAGGCGUGUGACUGCGUACCUUUUGUAUAAUGGGUCAGCGACUUAUAUUCUGUAGCAAGGUUAACCGAAUAGGGGAGCCGAAGGGAAACCGAGUCUUAACUGGGCGUUAAGUUGCAGGGUAUAGACCCGAAACCCGGUGAUCUAGCCAUGGGCAGGUUGAAGGUUGGGUAACACUAACUGGAGGACCGAACCGACUAAUGUUGAAAAAUUAGCGGAUGACUUGUGGCUGGGGGUGAAAGGCCAAUCAAACCGGGAGAUAGCUGGUUCUCCCCGAAAGCUAUUUAGGUAGCGCCUCGUGAAUUCAUCUCCGGGGGUAGAGCACUGUUUCGGCAAGGGGGUCAUCCCGACUUACCAACCCGAUGCAAACUGCGAAUACCGGAGAAUGUUAUCACGGGAGACACACGGCGGGUGCUAACGUCCGUCGUGAAGAGGGAAACAACCCAGACCGCCAGCUAAGGUCCCAAAGUCAUGGUUAAGUGGGAAACGAUGUGGGAAGGCCCAGACAGCCAGGAUGUUGGCUUAGAAGCAGCCAUCAUUUAAAGAAAGCGUAAUAGCUCACUGGUCGAGUCGGCCUGCGCGGAAGAUGUAACGGGGCUAAACCAUGCACCGAAGCUGCGGCAGCGACGCUUAUGCGUUGUUGGGUAGGGGAGCGUUCUGUAAGCCUGCGAAGGUGUGCUGUGAGGCAUGCUGGAGGUAUCAGAAGUGCGAAUGCUGACAUAAGUAACGAUAAAGCGGGUGAAAAGCCCGCUCGCCGGAAGACCAAGGGUUCCUGUCCAACGUUAAUCGGGGCAGGGUGAGUCGACCCCUAAGGCGAGGCCGAAAGGCGUAGUCGAUGGGAAACAGGUUAAUAUUCCUGUACUUGGUGUUACUGCGAAGGGGGGACGGAGAAGGCUAUGUUGGCCGGGCGACGGUUGUCCCGGUUUAAGCGUGUAGGCUGGUUUUCCAGGCAAAUCCGGAAAAUCAAGGCUGAGGCGUGAUGACGAGGCACUACGGUGCUGAAGCAACAAAUGCCCUGCUUCCAGGAAAAGCCUCUAAGCAUCAGGUAACAUCAAAUCGUACCCCAAACCGACACAGGUGGUCAGGUAGAGAAUACCAAGGCGCUUGAGAGAACUCGGGUGAAGGAACUAGGCAAAAUGGUGCCGUAACUUCGGGAGAAGGCACGCUGAUAUGUAGGUGAAGUCCCUCGCGGAUGGAGCUGAAAUCAGUCGAAGAUACCAGCUGGCUGCAACUGUUUAUUAAAAACACAGCACUGUGCAAACACGAAAGUGGACGUAUACGGUGUGACGCCUGCCCGGUGCCGGAAGGUUAAUUGAUGGGGUUAGCGCAAGCGAAGCUCUUGAUCGAAGCCCCGGUAAACGGCGGCCGUAACUAUAACGGUCCUAAGGUAGCGAAAUUCCUUGUCGGGUAAGUUCCGACCUGCACGAAUGGCGUAAUGAUGGCCAGGCUGUCUCCACCCGAGACUCAGUGAAAUUGAACUCGCUGUGAAGAUGCAGUGUACCCGCGGCAAGACGGAAAGACCCCGUGAACCUUUACUAUAGCUUGACACUGAACAUUGAGCCUUGAUGUGUAGGAUAGGUGGGAGGCUUUGAAGUGUGGACGCCAGUCUGCAUGGAGCCGACCUUGAAAUACCACCCUUUAAUGUUU
rnacentral:rRNA from 1 species